rnacentral:rRNA from 1 species
CGCGUAGGUGGUUUGGUAAGCGAGAUGUGAAAGCCCCGGGCUUAACCUGGGAACGGCAUUUCGAACUGUCAGGCUAGAGUAUGGUAGAGGAGUGUGGAAUUUCCUGUGUAGCGGUGAGAUGCGUAGAUAUAGGAAGGAACGCCAGUGGCGAAGGCGGCACUCUGGACCAAUACUGACACUGAGGUGCGAAAGCGUGGGGAGCAAACA